AAGAAUCGAUACACAUGGUGAAUGUUAGAUCUAAAUUUAUGUCUAGAGUUUAGAAAUUAACAAAUGUUCAUCUUAGAUUAAGAUCUGAAGAGUAUUUCUCAAUAGUGCUUCUAAUCCAAAUAUCAAACAAGUAAACAAAGAUGACAUCGAUAUAGAUUAAUAAAAUAGAUCUUGUACAAUGCCAAAAUCAAUAAAUAUACAUACUAUGAAAGUA
rnacentral:lncRNA from 1 species